GUCAAGUGACUAAGCGCACACGGUGGAUGCCUUGGCAGUCAGAGGCGAUGAAGGACGUUGGAGCUUGCGAAAAGUCUCGGGGAGGUAGCAACCAACCUUUGAUCCGGGAAUGUCCGAAUGGGGAAACCCACCUAACGUAAGUUAGGUAUCUUUAACUGAAUACAUAGGUUAAAGAGGCGAACGCGGGGAACUGAAACAUCUAAGUACCCGUAGGAAAAGAAAUCAAUUGAGAUUCCCCCAGUAGCGGCGAGCGACCGGGGAAGAGCCUGCAUGUAAUAGCUUAUGGAUUAGUGGAACGGUCUGGAAAGUCCGGCGAUAGAGGGUGAUAGCCCCGUACACGAAAAUCUGAAAGUGGUACUGAGCAUGCGAUAAGUAGGUCGGGACACGUGAUAUCUUGACUGAAGACGGGGGGACCAUCCUCCAAGGCUAAAUACUCCUAGUUGACCGAUAGUGAACCAGUACCGUGAGGGAAAGGCGAAAAGAACCCCGGAGAGGGGAGUGAAAUAGAUCCUGAAACCGUAUGCAUACAAACAGUGGGAGCGGACUUGUUCUGUGACUGCGUACCUUUUGUAUAAUGGGUCAGCGACUUAUUGUCAGUAGCAAGGUUAACCGUUUAGGGGAGCCGUAGGGAAACCGAGUCUGAAUAGGGCGAUUUAGUCGCUGGGCAUAGACCCGAAACCGGGCGAUCUAUCCAUGAGCAGGUUGAAGGUUGAGUAACAUCAACUGGAGGACCGAACCCACUGUCGUUGAAAAGCCAGGGGAUGACUUGUGGAUCGGAGUGAAAGGCUAAUCAAGCCCGGAGAUAGCUGGUUCUCCUCGAAAUCUAUUUAGGUAGAGCGUCGUGUCUUACCCUGGGGGGUAGAGCACUGUUUGGGCUAGGGGGUCAUCCCGACUUACCAACCCCAUGCAAACUCCGAAUACCCAGGAGUACAAUCACGGCAGACAGACAGCGGGUGCUAACGUCCGUUGUCGAGAGGGCAACAACCCAGACCGCCAGCUAAGGUCCCCAAUACCAAUUAAGUGGGAAACGAUGUGGGAAGGCUCAGACAGCUAGGAGGUUGGCUUAGAAGCAGCCACCCUUUAAAGAAAGCGUAAUAGCUCACUAGUCGAGU
rnacentral:rRNA from 1 species